AGAGUUUGAUCCUGGCUCAGGAUGAACGCUGGCGGCGUGCUUAACACAUGCAAGUCGAACGAACCUUCGGGUUAGUGGCGGACGGGUGAGUAACGCGUGGGAAUCUGCCCUCAGGAGGGGGAUAACGGUUGGAAACGACCGCUAAUACCCCAUAUGCCGAGAGGUGAAAUGAAUUUCGCCUGAGGAUGAGCCCGCGUCUGAUUAGCUUGUUGGUGAGGUAAUGGCUCACCAAGGCAUCGAUCAGUAGCUGGUCUGAGAGGAUGAUCAGCCACACUGGGACUGAGACACGGCCCAGACUCCUACGGGAGGCAGCAGUGGGGAAUUUUCCGCAAUGGGCGAAAGCCUGACGGAGCAACGCCGCGUGAGGGACGAAGGCCUCUGGGCUGUAAACCUCUUUUCUCAAGGAAGAAGAUAUGACGGUACUUGAGGAAUAAGCCACGGCUAAUUCCGUGCCAGCAGCCGCGGUAAUACGGGAGUGGCAAGCGUUAUCCGGAAUUAUUGGGCGUAAAGCGUCCGCAGGCGGCCUUUCAAGUCUGCUGUUAAAAAGUGGAGCUUAACUCCAUCAUGGCAGUGGAAACUGAUUGGCUUGAGUAUGGUAGGGGCAGAGGGAAUUCCCGGUGUAGCGGUGAAAUGCGUAGAUAUCGGGAAGAACACCAGUGGCGAAGGCGCUCUGCUGGGCCAUUACUGACGCUCAUGGACGAAAGCCAGGGGAGCGAAAGGGAUUAGAUACCCCUGUAGUCCUGGCCGUAAACGAUGAACACUAGGUGUCGGGGGAAUCGACCCCUUCGGUGUCGUAGCUAACGCGUUAAGUGUUCCGCCUGGGGAGUACGCACGCAAGUGUGAAACUCAAAGGAAUUGACGGGGGCCCGCACAAGCGGUGGAGUAUGUGGUUUAAUUCGAUGCAACGCGAAGAACCUUACCAGGGCUUGACAUCCUGCGAACCUUUAAGAAAUUAGAGGGUGCCUUCGGGAACGCAGUGACAGGUGGUGCAUGGCUGUCGUCAGCUCGUGUCGUGAGAUGUUGGGUUAAGUCCCGCAACGAGCGCAACCCACGUUUUUAGUUGCCAGCAUUCAGUUGGGCACUCUAGAAAGACCGCCGGUGAUAAACCGGAGGAAGGUGUGGAUGACGUCAAGUCAUCAUGCCCCUUACGUCCUGGGCUACACACGUACUACAAUGCUACGGACAAAGGGCAGCAAACUCGCGAGAGCUAGCAAAUCCCAUAAACCGUGGCUCAGUUCAGAUCGUAGGCUGCAACUCGCCUACGUGAAGUAGGAAUCGCUAGUAAUCGCAGGUCAGCAUACUGCGGUGAAUACGUUCCCGGGCCUUGUACACACCGCCCGUCACACCAUGGAAGUUGGCCACGCCCGAAGUCGUUACUUUAACCCUUGUGGAGAAGGACGCCGAAGGUGGGGCUGAUGACUGGGGUGAAGUCGUAACAAGGUAGCCGUACCGGAAGGUGCGGCUG
rnacentral:rRNA from 2 species